rnacentral:rRNA from 1 species
CAAUAAGCGGAGGAAAAGAAACCAACAGGGAUUGCCUCAGUAACGGCGAGUGAAGCGGCAACAGCUCAAAUUUGAAAUCUGGCCCUUUCAGGGUCCGAGUUGUAAUUUGUAGAAGAUGCUUCGGGUGUGGCUCCGGUCUAAGUUCCUUGGAACAGGACGUCAUAGAGGGUGAGAAUCCCGUAUGUGACCGGCUGCCUCCGCCCGUGUGAAGCUCUUUCGACGAGUCGAGUUGUUUGGGAAUGCAGCUCAAAAUGGGUGGUAAAUUUCAUCUAAAGCUAAAUAUUGGCCAGAGACCGAUAGCGCACAAGUAGAGUGAUCGAAAGAUGAAAAGCACUUUGGAAAGAGAGUUAAACAGUACGUGAAAUUGUUGAAAGGGAAGCGCUUGCAAUCAGACUUGCGCGCGGCUGAUCAUCCGGGGUUCUCCCCGGUGCACUCGGCCGCGCUCAGGCCAGCAUCGGUUUCGGUGGUUGGAUAAAGGCCUUGGGAAUGUGGCUCCUUUCGGGGAGUGUUAUAGCCCUCGGUGCAAUGCAGCCUACCGGGACCGAGG